AGUCGUACGCACUGGCCCAACUGAUUGAUGGUGCUUGCACCUGAUUGACGAUGGAUCACCAGUGAGUGGCGGACGGGUGAGUAACACGUAGGUAACCUGCCCCGGAGCGGGGGAUAACAUUUGGAAACAGAUGCUAAUACCGCAUAACAACAAAAGCCACAUGGCUUUUGUUUGAAAGAUGGCUUUGGCUAUCACUCUGGGAUGGACCUGCGGUGCAUUAGCUAGUUGGUAAGGUAACGGCUUACCAAGGCGAUGAUGCAUAGCCGAGUUGAGAGACUGAUCGGCCACAAUGGAACUGAGACACGGUCCAUACUCCUACGGGAGGCAGCAGUAGGGAAUCUUCCACAAUGGGCGCAAGCCUGAUGGAGCAACACCGCGUGAGUGAAGAAGGGUUUCGGCUCGUAAAGCUCUGUUGUUGGAGAAGAACGUGCGUGAGAGUAACUGUUCACGCAGUGACGGUAUCCAACCAGAAAGUCACGGCUAACUACGUGCCCAGCAGCCGCGGUAAUACGUAGGUGGCAAGCGUUAUCCGGAUUUAUUGGGCGUAAAGCGAGCGCAGGCGGUUGCUUAGGUCUGAUGUGAAAGCCUUCGGCUUAACCGAAGAAGUGCAUCGGAAACCGGGCGACUUGAGUGCAGAAGAGGACAGUGGAACUCCAUGUGUAGCGGUGGAAUGCGUAGAUAUAUGGAAGAACACCAGUGGCGAAGGCGGCUGUCUGGUCUGCAACUGACGCUGAGGCUCGAAAGCAUGGGUAGCGAACAGGAUUAGAUACCCUGGUAGUCCAUGCCGUAAACGAUGAGUGCUAGGUGUUGGGAGGGUUUCCGCCCUUCAGUGCCGGAGCUAACGCAUUAAGCACUCCGCCUGGGGAGUACGACCGCAAGGUUGAAACUCAAAGGAAUUGACGGGGGCCCGCACAAGCGGUGGAGCAUGUGGUUUAAUUCGAAGCUACGCGAAGAACCUUACCAGGUCUUGACAUCUUGCGCUAACCUUAGAGAUAAGGCGUUCCCUUCGGGGACGCAAUGACAGGUGGUGCAUGGUCGUCGUCAGCUCGUGUCGUGAGAUGUUGGGUUAAGUCCCGCAACGAGCGCAACCCUUGUUACUAGUUGCCAGCAUUAAGUUGGGCACUCUAGUGAGACUGCCGGUGACAAACCGGAGGAAGGUGGGGACGACGUCAGAUCAUCAUGCCCCUUAUGACCUGGGCUACACACGUGCUACAAUGGACGGUACAACGAGUUGCAAACUCGCGAGAGCAAGCUAAUCUCUUAAAGCCGUUCUCAGUUCGGACUGUAGGCUGCAACUCGCCUACACGAAGUCGGAAUCGCUAGUAAUCGCGGAUCAGCAUGCCGCGGUGAAUACGUUCCCGGGCCUUGUACACACCGCCCGUCACACCAUGGGAGUUUGUAACGCCCAAAGUCGGUGGCCUAACCUUUAU
rnacentral:rRNA from 2 species